rnacentral:rRNA from 1 species
AGGACGAACGCUGGCGGCGUGCUUAACACAUGCAAGUCGAGCGGAAAGGCCCUUCGGGGUACUCGAGCGGCGAACGGGUGAGUAACACGUGGGCAACCUGCCCCUAGCUCUGGGAUAACUCCGGGAAACCGGUGCUAAUACCGGAUACGACCUCAUUAGGCAUCCUUUGAGGUGGAAAGAUUUAUCGGCUAGGGAUGGGCCCGCGGCCUAUCAGCUUGUUGGUGGGGUAACGCCUACCAAGGCGACGACGGGUA